UGAAUAUUACACUGCCUUAGUUAAAGCCA
rnacentral:piRNA from 1 species